GUCGAGAAUCUUCCGCAAUGCGCGAAAGCGUGACGGAGCGACACCGCGUGAUGGAUGAAGUCCUUCGGGGCGUAAACAUCUUUUAUAAAGGAGGAAAUUUUUGACGUUACUUUAUGAAUAAGGGGCUCCCAAUCUCGUGCCAGCAGGAGCGGUAAUACGAGAGCCUCAAGCGUUAUCCGGAAUCAUUGGGCGUAAAGGGUGCGUAGGUGGUUUGAUUAGUCUCCCGUUAAAACUUCGAGCUUAACUCGAAAAGAGCGGGGGAAACGGUCAAACUGGAGUAUGUGAGAGGUGUGUGGCACUCAUGGUGUAGGGGUGAAAUCCGUUGAUAUCAUGGGGAACACCAAAAGCGAAGGCAGCACACUGGCACAUCACUGACACUGAGGCACGAAACCUAAGGUAGCGAAUGGGAUUAGAAACCCGUGUAGUCC
rnacentral:rRNA from 1 species